rnacentral:rRNA from 1 species
CCUACGGGGGGCAGCAGUGAGGAAUAUUGGUCAAUGGGCGGAAGCCUGAACCAGCCAAGUCGCGUGCAGGAUGACGGCCCUACGGGUUGUAAACUGCUUUUAUACGGGAAUAACUCGCCUUACGUGUAGGGCUUUGUAUGUCCCAUAUGAAUAAGGAUCGGCCAACUCCGUGCCAGCAGCCGCGGUAAUCCGGAGGAUCCGAGCGUUAUCCGGACUUAUUGGGUUUAAAGGGAGCGUAGGUGGAUUGUUAAGUCAGUUGUGAAAGUUUGCGGCUCAACCGUAAAAUUGCAGUUGAAACUGGCAGUCUGGAGUACAGUAGAGGUGGGCGGAAUUCGUGGUGUAGCGGUGAAAUGCUUAGAUAUCACGAAGAACUCCGAUUGCGAAGGCAGCUUACUGGACUGCAACUGACACUGAGGCUCGAAAGUGUGGGUAUCAAACAGGAUUAGAUACCCUAGUAGUC